GACCACGUCACAUUGAAACACCGGUUCCUGUACGAUCACCGAAGUUAAGCAACGUCGAGCCUGGUCAGUACUUAGAUGGAAGAUCGCAUGGGAAUAUCAGACGCUGUAAG